AUGGUCCGCCCCGUGGACGCCCUGAACAUCAGGGAGCGGUCCCGGAUACCCUGGCGUGGUGCGCCCAGCCGGGGACGCUCCGUGAGGGGAUCCCGGGCAGCCGCAAAGCCGACAGCCGUCGCACCCAGAGGGAGCCCCUUUCAUG
rfam:Streptomyces sp. CB02400 scaffold6, whole genome shotgun sequence.